CUCCAUGUGUAGCGGUAAAAUGCGUAGAUAUAUGGAAGAACACCAGUGGCGAAGGCGGCCGCCUGGCCUGUUGCUGACGCUGAGGCACGAAAGCGUGGGGAGCAAAUAGGAUUAGAUACCCUAGUAGUCCACGCCGUAAACGAUGAGGACCAAGUGUUGGGGGUGAAACCUCAGUGCUGAAGUUAACGCAGUGAGUCCUCCGCCUGGGGAGUAUGCACGCAAGUGUGAAACUCAAAGGAAUUGACGGGGGCCCGCACAAGCGGUGGAGUAUGUGGUUUAAUUCGAAGCAACGCGAAGAACCUUACCAGGCCUUGACAUGGGAUGCGAAGACGCAGAGAUGCGUUGGAGGCAAACAUCCACACAGGUGGUGCAUGGUUGUCGUCAGCUCGUGUCGUGAGAUGUUGGGUCAAGUCCCGCAACGAGCGCAACCCUUGUGGCAUGUUGCUAACAGGAAAGCUGAGGACUCAUGCCAGACUGCCGGUGACAAACCGGAGGAAGGCGGGGAUGACGUCAAAUCAUCAUGCCCCUUAUGGCCUGGGCUACACACGUACUACAAUGGCGGCUACAAAGAGCGGCGAGACAGUAAUGUCGAGCGAAUCUCAUAAAAGCCGUCCCAGUUCGGAUUGGAGCCUGCAACCCGGCUCCAUGAAGUUGGAAUCGCUAGUAAUCGCGGAUCAGCAUGCCGCGGUGAAUACGUUCCCGGGCCUUGUACACACCGCCCGUCAA
rnacentral:rRNA from 1 species